rnacentral:tRNA from 1 species
GCGCCCGUAGCUCAGCUGGAUAGAGUAACGGACUACGAAUCCGGGGGUCGCAGAUUCGAAUUCUGCCGGGCGCACCA